UACAACAUGAUUUGCCCCCUCCAACAAAUCAAGCUGAAUUUGAAAUGCAUUCAACAUCUGAACAUGCAGAAGACGUCGAAAGAUCAACAAAAGAAAAAAAAGUAAGCAAAAAGAGACACAAUCUCCAUCACCAACGGCAACGAAUACUUUAGAAGAUUAUAACAUCGACAAAUACAAAAACAUUAGAGAAUGGAUAUCAGAAAAUCCAUCAGAUGCAUAUUGGAAAGAUGAAAUCGGCAAUCAAUACGCAAGACAUUCGCUGAUAAAUAUAAUAAAUCAAAUUAAAGAUAUAAAUAUUGUGCAUAUUGAUAUAGAAUUAAAGCUGUUGCGAAGACUCAUUCAUGAUACAUCUUCCCCGGUUUCCAAAGAAUAUGCAAUCAUGGACUUUCGAUUCGAGAAUGAAUGUGUUCAUUGGUACACAACGAUCAAACAAGGAGCAACCGCUUCUGUGAAUAAUUUCUAGGCAUUAGAGCAAUACACAAAAGGAGAAUUACCUACAUUUGCUCGACCCUGGAUAACAUACAACUAUUUAUUGAUUCCAGUCGCAUAUCCAGGCAACAGUUGGUUUAUUUUUCUUGUUGAUUUUGAAAAGUGAAAAUUUCAAGUAUAUGAUUGCAACCACAACAUUCAUACACCAGAUGCAAUCAAGUUACGUGAAGCCCCAGUUUUGGAUGUUGUACAAUCAUUAUUAAUAGCUACUGACAUUUUCUUCGGGAAGCCAAAUUUACGAAAACAUAGAAAUAAACGUAUGAAAUUGGAAAUCAUACCGUAUCUAUCUUGUCAAAAUAAUGGGUAAGUAUCUCAACAAUUUACUUUAAUAUUUAUUUUUCUAUUCAAUUUUAUUUUACAUUUAUAACAUUACUAUAAAAUAACUUCAAACUAAUUUUUUCUGUAGGCCAAACUCUGGAGUUCUUCUUCUCAAAUACAUUGAAUGCUUCAUUUUCGGAUAUCCAUUAGAAGCAGUU